rnacentral:rRNA from 1 species
AGUCGAACGCGAAAGCCCCCUUCGGGGGGCAAGUAGAGUGGCGCACGGGUGAGUAACACGUAGGUAAUCUACCUUUGGAUGGGGAAUAACCACCGGAAACGGUGGCUAAUACCGCAUAAUGCAGCGGCACCUAAUGGUGACAGUUGUUAAAGCGGGGGAUCGCAAGACCUCGCGUCUGAAGAGGAGCCUGCGGCAGAUUAGCUAGUUGGUAAGGUAAAGGCUUACCAAGGCGAUGAUCUGUAGCCGGCCUGAGAGGGCGGUCGGCCACACUGACACUGACAUACGGGUCAGACUCCUACGGGAGGCAGCAGUCGGGAAUUUUGGGCAAUGGGCGAAAGCCUGACCCAGCAACGCCGCGUGAAGGAUGAAAUCCCUCGGGAUGUAAACUUCGCAAGAACGGGAAGAAUAAGUAAGAGCUAACAUCUCUUAUGAUGACGGUACUGUUUGUAAGCUCCGGCUAACUCCGUGCCAGCAGCCGCGGUAAUACGGGGGGAGCAAGCGUUGUUCGGAUUUACUGGGCGUAAAGGGCGCGUAGGCGGCCACCGCAAGUCGACUGUGAAAUCUCCGGGCUUAACUCGGAAAGGUCAGCCGAUACUGCGGGGCUAGAGUGCAGAAGGGGCAACUGGAAUUCUCGGUGUAGCGGUGAAAUGCGUAGAUAUCGAGAGGAACACCUGCGGCGAAGGCGGGUUGCUGGGCUGACACUGACGCUGAGGCGCGAAAGCUAGGGGAGCGAACGGGAUUAGAUACCCCGGUAGUCCUAGCCUUAAACGAUGAAUGCUUGGUGUCUGGGGUUUUAUAGUCCCCGGGUGCCGUC